GAGAACCUGUUGACACAGGCAGAAUGUGUUUGUCAAUCAUUGCAAUCCUUAUCAAUAUGAAGAAAUGGAACCUUUUUUUUUUUUUAUGAAAAUGAUUGAAACCAAUGGAUCAAUUAGUCUUUCGUCCAUACCAUGCGAUCCAUCAAUGUAUCACUCAAAUCCGCACCUGUUAAUCAAAAGACAUACAAGGACAAUAUGCAGCAAAUUAGAAGGGAAAAACAGUACGCAGCUAACCAAAUAUAUAAAGAACGUAAAAGCGCAAGAUAGAAUUGUUUUGAAGGGCCAUAGUUGUAGUUAGAAAGAAUUGUUUUGAAGGGCCAUAGUUGUAGUUAGAACUUUAAAGUCUCAAUGGCCUGUAACAAGGACAGCCUAUGAACAAGAGAAAAAAAAAAUGCUUAGUUAAGUGAUUCUCCUAUGCUGUUCCACGUACAUGCGCUUCUUCGAAUAAUUUCACCAGGAAACAAUCAGACUUUGACAUGACCAUAGCUAAAAUGGCCCAAUCUGACUCCACCCGGUAGUCCCAAUCUCAAAAAAAUAUCGAUCCCAGUUUGGUUAUGAGAAAUUAAGAACCAAAUGUUUACACAAAAGUAUGAUGAUCUAGAUAAUGAAAACAUUCUUUUGGCUAUUUGUCUAAAAUUAAAACAACUAAUUAAUACCACUGGGAUGUAGCCAGAUGGAUACCUACUAACUUCCUAAAACCCUAAUCCUAGAGUCAGUCAGUAUCAAGAGUUCAAAGUUCAAAAAUUUGCCACUGCUAAAUAAUUCAUAUAUUGCUAGUCUCGACUGAAAUAGUUACCCUUGCACUAGUAAGAUUAUCAGUCAUUAAAUAAGAGGAGUACUAAUAACUUUCUGAAUUUAAUAAAAAAAACUUUAAUGAUGGGAAUUUGAAGGGUUUUUCUUUUCUUUUCUUAAUUUGUCUUUUUGGUGAGAAGAGGGUUUUAUAAAUUAUAAUAAGGAUUUCUCCUAAUCAAACCCUCUCCUUAAUCCUAUCAAAACUCGUUUGGUCUCAGCUGCGCAGCCUACACAUUCGAGUCUCCACACCCCCCCCCCCUUUAUUUUCUCUUUCUUUACUUUUUUUUGCGACAAAACACCAUAAAUUUGAUAAAUAAACCCCUGAAUAACAAAGCUGUCCGACUUAUACACAGAGUCCAAAUCUUGCAGGCCAAUUAAGCAGUGAAAAAGGAACUAAACCCUUGAAUCCCGCAUUGAAGGAAUAAGUAAAGUGCUACGUGGGGUUUAGUCCAUGAUAGAAGUAAAUGGAAGGGAAGGGAAGGGAUGAAUCAAGGUAAUGAAUCCUGAUUAGUUUGGGCUUAGAGUCAUGGACACCAAAAGAAUGCUGCGAGUACGCAUUGAUUUGCAGGAGCAGGAUGUGAUGGAUUUCAUCCGGUACUAGGGAAAGGAGGUGUGAAAUGAACUGUUUUGCUAUAAAUCACUAGAGCAAGCUUACUUUCAGGCGACUGAAGUUAUGUCGCUGGAUCAUCUUAUGGUUACUUUGAAGUGGUACUACUACUAGUUUUACCUGUAAAAUUUGCCUUAUAUGCAACUGCUUUCUCCAGGUAUGCACCAUUGAAUGUUGAACCACUAAAAUCAGAUUCUCUCA